GGAGGCUAUAUACAGGGUGUACCAGUACAGAGUCAAUGUGGAGGCUAUAUACAGGGGGUACCGGUACAGAGUCAAUGUGGAGGCUAUAUACAGGGGGUACCAGUACAGAGUCAAUGUGGAGGCUAUAUACAGGGGGUACCGGUACAGAGUCAAUGUGGAGGCUAUAUACAGGGUGUACCGGUACAGAGUCAAUGUGGAGGCUAUAUACAGGGUGUACCAGUACAGAGUCAAUGUGGAGGCUAUAUACAGGGGGUACCGGUACAGAGUCAAUGUGGAGGCUAUAUACAGGGGGUACCGGUACAGAGUCAAUGUGGAGACUAUAUACAGGGG
ensembl:lncRNA